rnacentral:rRNA from 1 species
GAUGAACGCUGGCGGCGUGCCUAAUACAUGCAAGUCGAGCGAACAGAUAAGGAGCUUGCUCCUUUGACGUUAGCGGCGGACGGGUGAGUAACGCGUGGAUAACCUACCUAUAAGACUGGGAUAACUUCGGGAAACCGGAGCUAAUACCGGAUAACAUAUUGAACCGCAUGGUUCAAUAGUGAAAGGCGGCUUUGCUGUCACUUAUAGAUGGAUCCGCGCCGUAUUAGCUAGUUGGUAAGGUAACGGCUUACCAAGGCAACGAUACGUAGCCGACCUGAGAGGGUGAUCGGCCACACUGGAACUGAGACACGGUCCAGACUCCUACGGGAGGCAGCAGUAGGGAAUCUUCCGCAAUGGGCGAAAGCCUGACGGAGCAACGCCGCGUGAGUGAUGAAGGUCUUCGGAUCGUAAAACUCUGUUAUCAGGGAAGAACAAAUGUGUAAGUAACUGUGCACAUCUUGACGGUACCUGAUCAGAAAGCCACGGCUAACUACGUG